rnacentral:rRNA from 1 species
GAUGAACGCUGGCGGCGUGCCUAAUACAUGCAAGUCGAGCGAACGGACGAGAAGCUUGCUUCUCUGAUGUUAGCGGCGGACGGGUGAGUAACACGUGGAUAACCUACCUAUAAGACUGGGAUAACUUCGGGAAACCGGAGCUAAUACCGGAUAAUAUUUUGAACCGCAUGGUUCAAAAGUGAAAGACGGUCUUGCUGUCACUUAUAGAUGGAUCCGCGCUGCAUUAGCUAGUUGGUAAGGUAACGGCUUACCAAGGCAACGAUGCAUAGCCGACCUGAGAGGGUGAUCGGCCACACUGGAACUGAGACACGGUCCAGACUCCUACGGGAGGCAGCAGUAGGGAAUCUUCCGCAAUGGGCGAAAGCCUGACGGAGCAACGCCGCGUGAGUGAUGAAGGUCUUCGGAUCGUAAAACUCUGUUAUUAGGGAAGAACAUAUGUGUAAGUAACUGUGCACAUCUUGACGGUACCUAAUCAGAAAGCCACGGCUAACUACGUGCCAGCAGCCGCGGUAAUACGUAGGUGGCAAGCGUUAUCCGGAAUUAUUGGGCGUAAAGCGCGCGUAGGCGGUUUUUUAAGUCUGAUGUGAAAGCCCACGGCUCAACCGUGGAGGAUCAUUGGAAACUGGAAAACUUGAGUGCAGAAGAGGAAAGUGGAAUUCCAUGUGUAGCGGUGAAAUGCGCAGAGAUAUGGAGGAACACCAGAGGCGAAGGCGACUUUCUGGUCUGUAACUGACGCUGAUGUGCGAAAGCGUGGGGAUCAAACAGGAUUAGAUACCCUGGUAGUCCACGCCGUAAACGAUGAGUGCUAAGUGUUAGGGGGUUUCCGCCCCUUAGUGCUGCAGCUAACGCAUUAAGCACUCCGCCUGGGGAGUACGACCGCAAGGUUGAAACUCAAAGGAAUUGACGGGGACCCGCACAAGCGGUGGAGCAUGUGGUUUAAUUCGAAGCAACGCGAAGAACCUUACCAAAUCUUGACAUCCUUUGACAACUCUAGAGAUAGAGCCUUCCCCUUCGGGGGACAAAGUGACAGGUGGUGCAUGGUUGUCGUCAGCUCGUGUCGUGAGAUGUUGGGUUAAGUCCCGCAACGAGCGCAACCCUUAAGCUUAGUUGCCAUCAUUAAGUUGGGCACUCUAAGUUGACUGCCGGUGACAAACCGGAGGAAGGUGGGGAUGACGUCAAAUCAUCAUGCCCCUUAUGAUUUGGGCUACACACGUGCUACAAUGGACAAUACAAAGGGCAGCGAAACCGCGAGGUCAAGCAAAUCCCAUAAAGUUGUUCUCAGUUCGGAUUGUAGUCUGCAACUCGACUACAUGAAGCUGGAAUCGCUAGUAAUCGUAGAUCAGCAUGCUACGGUGAAUACGUUCCCGGGUCU